UACAGAGGGGGCAAGCGUUGUUCGGAAUUACUGGGCGUAAAGGGCGCGUAGGCGGCCUUCUAAGUCGAACGUGAAAUCCCCGGGCUCAACCCGGGAACUGCGUCCGAUACUGGAAGGCUUGAAUCCGGGAGAGGGAUGCGGAAUUCCAGGUGUAGCGGUGAAAUGCGUAGAUAUCUGGAGGAACACCGGUGGCGAAGGCGGCAUCCUGGACCGGCAUUGACGCUGAGGCGCGAAAGCCAGGGGAGCGAACGGG
rnacentral:rRNA from 1 species